UAAAAAGUAGUGUAAUGGAAGCACCUUGAGUUUUGAUCUCUUGAGUAGGGGUUCAAUUCCCUUCUUUUUA
rnacentral:tRNA from 1 species